UUUCAAUUUUUCUGAAGUAAAGUUCGAGCUGAAAGUUUUCUUUUCAUUACUGUGCGCUACUCUUACUUUUGUCUGUAUUUUAAUCGGAUUUUUGUUAUCCGCCUUCACGUCUGCUAUGCAAACGUUAUUUCAAGACAUCCGAAGAUUUGCUGACUGCGACCUCAGAUUGGAACAGAAAUUAAAGAUUUUGAAUUUUAUGAAAAGAUUCGGUAAAGAAUCCCUGUGUCUGUCAUGCAGAAAUUACUUUAAGAUUACAAAAAAGUUUCCAAUAAAGAUGGGAAGUUCUCUACACCCCGUGUUUUCUGGUCUUUUAAAUAUAAAAAAAGCUUCGAAACAUAAAACUUAAUAAAUACAGAAGAUUUUCAGUUUGAAAGACGACUCUAAAUGACAAUUAUUUGUUAAAUUUCCACGUCGCAAUCACUAAAAUUUAUUAUAAUUCACAAGUAAAUUGCUAUAAAGGUCCGAUAUUUAGUUUUACUCUUGUGAUCAUUCGUCAUUUAAUAAAGAUUUACGCGAUGUAGUAAAUGAGGAUGCCGCGAUGAGUAAUAAAUCUUAAUUCUAAGAUCGGCACUCGAAAAUUGAGCGAGAAACUGAUAAAAGGACACAUUAAUAUGCACGUAGAUGUAUAGAUGAAUACUACUCAAAGACAGGUAAUGAUUGUAUGAUUUAAUAAUCUGUGAUGAAAAUUUGAAAUAGAGUGAAAUAAUUUAAUUUUAACAUAAAACGUCGUGAAUUAUAAUUCAUCAAAAGACAUUUCACUAUUUAAAAUGUUGAUCGUAAAAGUCUGUAAUAUCGCAUUCAUAAUUUUUUUUUUAACAGAAUUCUCUGUUGUCAUAGAAAUGUAUUGGCCAAAAUGGUUGAAAUUAAUGUAUCGAACAGUAAUGUAUUGAAUAGCGUUAAAGAUGAAAG